UUUUACGGGAAGAAAAGGAUGUCAAUCACUGAGCUAUUGACGAAGUAAAAAGCCUUAAACUUACUUCCGCCUCCAAUGUUCAUUGAAGCCGUUAGCUGUCUGUCAAGUUGGGCAAAGGGACGCACAAUAAGGACAGAACAACAAGGAAGUUUUGGCCAGCCCGUGUGGAUUAAGAGUCCCCAAUAUCAACCCACCACGACCACCACCUUAAUUUUUUCAUCAACAGCCUUAAAUUUGUUUAGAGGGGUAUUCCACUAAGCGAGCUCUACAAGUCAAGGCUUGCGGAAAAAAUGCCGAGGUCAACUACAUCACCAACCUACCGAAGGAUCAAACCCCAGCCACUCUGGAAAAAAUGAGAGAACAGAUCAUGCAUGAAGUCGAAAAGACUGAGAGAAACUACUUAGUCAUAGGCAAGCUCAUGGACACAACCUAUGUCAUACGUCGCCAAGACAUUGUUGGAGCUGUUGGAGCUCCACAAGUGAGGGAUGUUGUGGACAGAUGGCCAGCCCUACUUAUGGAGUCACAGGUGGUUGCAGAGUUCCACCGAAUCAACAAUGUUAACCUGCGCACUCAAUUCUACAAGGAGCUGGACAGACACGCCUAGACUCAUCACUUUGUUCCGAGACAAGGCCAUCAAGACUCACAAGAUUGCAGAGGAGCUAGCAAAGCUCAUGAGAAUUUAUGACAUUCAGGAACAGCGUGAUGUAAAUACAAGACGGGCCCUCGUCCUUCAUGCACUUCCUGUGUACCUGCGUGAAGAUGCCUCCACGUUAUUCAGGACUUGUGAUGUAAGUGUACUGGCCUCAGCAUCAACCCCUUUGCCUAGCUGUUCAGUCGAAUAUAUGACAUCACUCAGAACUCAGGGAGAACCAGGGUGUAUAUCAGGAAGGAGGUUCAACACAGUCCUCAUCUGACUUGUUUUCUCCCAUAUAUCAACUAUUGUUGAAUAAGAUUGCAAGAAGAUUGUUACACAUAAACCAGAAAACAUGAAAAUAGUUGAAAGAUUAUUAUACAAAAACAAAUCUGCAGAUAAAAACUAUCUCCCU
ensembl:lncRNA